rnacentral:rRNA from 1 species
UUACCCACUCCCGGCACGGGGAGGUAGUGACGAAAAAUAACAAUACGGGACUCUAUCGAGUUCCCGUAAUUGGAAUGAGUACACUCUAAACCUUUUAACAAGGAUCAAUUGGAGGGCAAGUCUAGUGCCAGCAGCCGCGGUAAUUCUAGCUCCAAUAGCGUAUAUUAAAGUUGUUGCGGUUAAAAAGCUCGUAGUUGGAUCUCAGUCGCGCCCCUUCGAUCCGCCUCAGGCGGUAUUCGUUGGGGCCGGCAUACGGCUGGUCGUCCCUGCUGGCCUUCAACGGCUGGUCGGGUUGUCCGGCGAUUUUACUUUGAAAAAAUUAGAGUGCUCAAAGCAGGCUGACGCCUGAAUAAUGGUGCAUGGAAUAAUGGAAUAGGACCUCGGUUCUAUUUUGUUGGUUUUCGGAACACGAGGUAAUGAUUAAGAGGGACAGACGGGGGCAUUUGUAUUGCGACGCUAGAGGUGAAAUUCUUGGACCGUCGCAAGACAAACUACUGCGAAAGCAUUUGCCAAGAAUGUUUUCAUUAAUCAAGAACGAAAGUUAGAGGUUCGAAGGCGAUCAGAUACCGCCCUAGUUCUAACCAUAAACGAUGCCAACUAGCAAUCCGCCUGAGUUCCUCAUACGACUCGGCGGGCAGCUUCCGGGAAACCAAAGUUUUUGGGUUCCGGGGGAAGUAUGGUUGCAAAGCUGAAACUUAAAGGAAUUGACGGAAGGGCACCACCAGGAGUGGAGCCUGCGGCUUAAUUUGACUCAACACGGGUAAACUUACCCGGCCCGGACACCGGAAGGAUUGACAGAUUAAGAGCUCUUUCUUGAUUCGGUGGGUGGUGGUGCAUGGCCGUUCUUAGUUGGUGGAGUGAUUUGUCUGGUUAAUUCCGAUAACGAACGAGACUCUGGCCUAUUAAAUAGACGUUCCAUUUUUUGUGGAACGCUCUUCUUAGAGGGACAGGCGGCUUUUAGCCGCACGAGAUAGAGCAAUAACAGGUCUGUGAUGCCCUUAGAUGUCCGGGGCCGCACGCGCGCUACAAUGAAGGAUUCAGCAUGUUUUUCCCUAAUCCGAAAGGACGGGGUAAUCAUGUGAAACUCCUUCGUGCUUGGGAUAGGGGUUUGUAAUUAUUCCCCUUGAACGAGGAAUUCCCAGUAAGCGCGAGUCAUCAACUCGCGUUGAUUACGUCCCUGCCCUUUGUACACACCGCCCGUCGCUACUACCGAUUGAG